CGGUGUUUAAGUUUCUCACAGGUCUCACACGGUUGCGAAGUCUGAGCCCCACCGCCAUAAAUUAACCAGCGACGCGUCAAGGUUAGCGAACACAAAAACCCUCUGUCACCGCCAAACCCACCUGUUUAUUAAACACGAAGAAAUGCACAUUCUGUAGAAACGAAAAAAUGAAAGUAAUUUCUGAGUCCACGUAGCGAAAAGGAAGCUUAGACAAUGACAAGUGGUUUAAAUAAUAUCCAGGGGAAGCGGCCUCCUACAUUACACAUCUGGAAAAAAUCACAUUGGUAAUCCAAACGAAAAGAAGUCUUUUAAUCCGGAAAAGGGUAUCUGUGCCUAAAAUUCAACAUCCGAGACCGGUGGGAAUCUGAACAAUAGUUCACAUGCGUGUUGUCAAGUGACUCAGUGGGUUUCACACCGUGUCUUCCCGACCCGACCCGACCCACUACCUGGGUGAAGACCAAAACUGCGCCCUACCUGUGUGCUGCCCGGAAGCGCCUUCAAACGCGCAGGUAGAGCUCGGAACCGGGUCCCUGGACGCACAGGGCUCCGGCGGCCAGGGAAAACUUUUCACUCGACUCUGUAACAACGUGAGGUCCAAAGACGUCGCGGUUGCCGUCAGGUUUCACCACUUCAGGUGUUCAUGGAAGACGCAGGUCUUCCCCCAGUUUCGUACAACAAAAAGAGUAGGAUCUGACGUUUUCUGGCAGGAAGUCAGUCCAGAUCUGUAUCGUGGACGGGUUUUCUUGAGAGAAAUGAGCGCUGAAGAGCGAUCGAGCAGACAUUUUGUGGAAGCUUUCCAAGCCAUCAACCCAACCACACAUAUUCCUUACAGCAGUGAAUUUCUCGUUUGCCCGGCUCUCCUUUCGCGAGCAGGAGAUGUGGAGAAGGUUGAAAAAAAGGUGACAAGAACCCGUGCAGCCAUGUGACUCAGCUAUAGCCUGAAGUAGCUGUCUUAGGUGUCUGCUUUGAUGCUGGCUAUUGAUUUUCAAGACAAUGUGGGGAAGCAAUAAAAAAGGCAAACAGCAUGCUGGGAUAUCUGGAUAAGAGGAGAAUUUAAAUCAAGGGGUGUUAUACUCAAAUUGUACGAUGCUAGUAAAACCUCAUUUUGAGUAUUGAGUAUUUGACAAUUCUGGUUGUUGUGGAUUGCAGUUUUGCAGUUUUACUACCCUUUAUCUCUAACUGCUGUAAGUGGUGAUGGUGGACCAGUGGGUGGCGCUCUUUCCUGUAGUAUGGAAUUUCUAACAGGGAACGCUGCCAUGGCACUGUUUGUAAGAGUGGGGGUGUGAACCCAGUGUCCUGGCUGUUACAUCCUGGGUUUGUUGGUGAGGCAAUUUCUCCCUUCUGUACCUGAACUACUGAGCAGUGGAGCUGCAGGCACAUAAAGACUCCUGCCCAGGAGGGUGUUGUUCAGGGGGUCUGUCUACAGAUAGGAAGGUGCACUAGGCAGACAAAACAGGCCGGAGUGCCCCGGUGUCCAUAGCAGUGAAUCAUGACCUUGCCCUGACCUAUGCAAGGAGGAAGUGUCAGUGAUGCACGAGACAAAGCAUUGAGGGGCUGGAGGUAUGGAGGGAGGCGGAGGGGCUGGGCUGCUGGCUCUCUGACAAUGGGUCUGCACAUUCAGACUGCCAGCCAAACAAUGGAGAGAGGAGACCCCUCCACCCGGGCCGUGCACUGCAAUGGGCCAGGCAUUUCACACUGUCCCG
ensembl:lincRNA